CCGUUAACAAUACCAAUUAUGAAACGGCGGCGAAAAUCAAACGCAUUUUUCAAUCCAUUGUAGACAUAGCGGAUGAAAGAGUGUCGUUGCACGGUUUUCCAAACAGGAAAUUAUGCGUAAUCUCCAUUGAGAAGGCCAAACGGAUCGCGAUUAAAUAUCAAGUUGCACGACGAUACACGUUCGUGUUCUCUUCUUUCGAUUCAGGAACACGUUCCCGCCGACCGUGAGGCAUAGUAACACGAUUUCUUCUGCCUGAUCAGAUCGAACAUUUCUGACUCAUCGUUCAUUGGCUAACAUCGAUAUUCGCCAACCAGUCACGAUUUUCUUCUCGUAUAUCUCCAUGCAUGGAAUAAAAUUUAUCGUAAAUAUUGUUCUCUUCGACUGCUUAUUCUCGAUUAAAAAGUACGUACAUGCUAAUAAUAUUCGUUCUUAAAAAAUAUAUAUAUGUAAUUUGUAAAAAAUAUUCAUCAAUCUUUUCUACUACUCAAUCUUUUUACCGACUAAAGAUGUCUACGAUCAAUCGUUGUUAAGCGAAACAUGUUCGCACAGUAAUAGCUGCCAACUGCUAAAAUAAUCAAGUUUCUCCUCUUCCAAGUCGUUUGGCUAGUGGUAAACGUUACACUAGCACGUAACGCGUUACAAAAUAACUUUCCAAAUGCACACAAUAAUCACGUAACACUUGGGUCAUCGCAAUUGGAAGAUUUUUCUUUUUUUUAUAAGAAAAUUGAAGAGGAAGAAAAUCUUGUGAAAGAAAUUGCACCAGAAUCACAUAAGUUAAACAAUCAUAUCAUGAAACAUCGAAGAGAAACGAGCGAGAAGCAAGCGCAACACCAGCGCCUUUCCGAACAUAUCACUGCGCCGCCAUUCGAAAACUAGAAUGCUCGACAGAAUGUUGCUUCCAACAUGCAACAAUGUACCGGGUUGAAAUAGUGGGUUUACCUUCUAGCAUACCAGAAAUUGUUUCCGCACGUAGCCUCCUAUAUUUGAUAUUUAACUGCUUGCGUGACCGAUUAAGAAAACGAAAAGUGAAAAACAAGUGAUAAUCUUUUUUUAAUCGAGAAAAUAAAACGGACACGCUCGUAAAAUUACGAACUUCAUUUUAAUAAUAAACAGUUGUGGACACAUCCCUGGUUAAGCUAGGUUAGGUUAUGCAACAGAGAUUCUUAUUAGUAGUGUCGAAGCACUGGGAUACUUUCCUUUCCUUUACGACUUGUAAAGAGAAAUUACGAGAGUUGGCUGAGAAAUGCGACAGGUUUAUAGAAAAUGUUGUGUAGAAAAUUUUAUCGCAUACCAAACCAGUGCUACGACAAAAUGUGCAAAUGUCACGUUUCACCGUUUCAUUUCUUCCUGAUCACGGAAUAUCGACAUACAGUCUUCCUGAAUCCAGUAACGGGAUAUAUAUAUAUACACGCUUGUUCUCAAUCCCUCUCCACGUGAGGUGCAACGUUCAAAAGUCGGCUCAUACACAGCAGCCUCCUUUUACUUCUUUUCCAUGCGCAUAAUUUGUUCCUUUUUCCUCGGCUCGAGGUUACGUCGAAGAAAACGUUUCUCCACCGCGUUUUCCCACUAAUCAACCGUUUUAAUAGCAGUUUUUCUACGUUGUUGUGGGACAACUUCCGGGUCCAGGCCACGUCGAAGAGUGUAUUCAUGCGCGACGAUGCAUUUCCGGGAGAAAUACAACGUUUCGAGAGAAGACCUUCACGGUUUCUUUCACCGUAUCGAGUCGCUUCAUAACUCGGUGAAAAUCAUGGUGAAACACACUCUUGAUCAUUGGAUGAAAAUCACUGGCAUUCAUCUUCUUUUCACAUUGUCGUCGCGCUUUUGUGUUCAGACGGAAGUGGAUAAACGAUCUCGUAAUACCUACGAGAAUUUUGUUUUCUAAACGAUUUUAUGAAGUGGAACAAUUAAUGUUUCAGUUUCUCAAUUUACAUAGAGAAGAAGAAAGAGAAGAUUUCGCAAGGAGCCGAAUAUUGUACUUCCCGGAAGAAGGAACACUCGAAGCUCAAGCACCAUAUUUAACGAGGAUUCUCUCGCUUUGUUACCUCCCUUUAUGUAAGGAAACAGGAGGAACUAAGGACACAGCUUGUUACCAGAUUGAAAGAUUAUCGCGAUGCUCGGUGGGAAUGGUCACAAGAGGAAACGAGACACCUGUGAAUAAAAACAAUGGCCGCGGAGUUUCGAAAGUCUCUCGCGUUUGUUUACCCCCCUUUUCCACCCUAACAAUCAUGCUCGUUAAUUAAUCGUGCUAUCAAUUGAUUCACACCAUUGCAUUCGCAUAUACAGUGUUGAAAUUGUAACUGAAAUUGUAACUGAAUUAUUAUAUAUUCUCUUUGAUAAAAUAAAUGAUAAAGUUUGAGAUUGUUAUAUUGUGAUCACGUAUAAUGAAAAUAUUUAAGAAGAUAUAUAUAUAUAUUUUAUUGUAAAUUGUGAGAUGAAUGGAAGACAAGUUUGAGAUUGAAAAUAAUUGCGAGGAAAAUAUAUUUUUAUUAGCCAAUAUCGUCGACGUUGUAUAUACGAUUAUGCAAAUUGUGGGAUAAUUGAAAAAUUAUCUCGCGGAGAAAAUGAUUAAAACGAUGAUUUCUUAUCGGCUACUUCAUUACAGAAGAUCGUGCCCGUGUUGAUAGAUUAAUGGAAGGAUGUCUGGUCUUAUCUCAUCCCGUCGGGCGAAGGAUUUAAUAUUGUCGCAUUAAGAAGACGUUUUAAUUAAUUUGGAUGAGCAAUUCUCUUUGCGUAUUCUUUUGUUUACGAUAUUGUUGCAUCGAGAUAACGAUUAAUCAAUCAUUAAUUUGCUUGGAAUUUUUUUAAUUUAGCGUUUGGACACAUUAUUAUUGUAAUCCCUUUGACAAUUAUAACCAGUUUCAUCAUUUUUUUUUGCACUAUCCUCGAUUCGGGGUGUUAAAACGAACAGCAAUAAAAAUAGGAUAAAUUUGAGA